rnacentral:rRNA from 1 species
GUCUUUAUGUUUAUAUUUAAAGUCUGGCCUGCCCACUGAAAAUUUUAAAGGGCCGCGGUAUUUUGACCGUGCAAAGGUAGCAUAGUCAUUAGUCUUUUAAUUGGAGGCUUGUAUGAAGNUCNNACAAGGGACAAACUGUUUCAAUAGAAUUAAUUGAAUUUAACCUUUAAGUAAAAAGGCUUAAAUAUUUUAAAGUGA